CCCGCUGCCAAACUCCUGACCUCAGGUGAUCCAUCUGCCUCAGCUUCCCAAAGUGCUGGGAUUACAGGCGUGAGCCACCGCACCCGGCCGUUGAACGUUGAUCACCCGAGAGACUUGGCUUCUCUUCAGCCUUAGCUGUGCAACCUGGGGUCCAGCUCAAAUCGUUGGAAUGUGGAAGUCCUUCCUCUCGCCCCGUCCUGAGGAGCAGCUGCAGGAGCUUCAUGAGUGUUUUCAUUGGAAC